UCGGGAAUUUUGGGCAAUGGGCGAAAGCCUGACCCAGCAACGCCGCGUGAAGGAUGAAGUAUUUCGGUAUGUAAACUUCGAAAGAAUAGGAAGAAUAAAUGACGGUACUAUUUAUAAGGACCGGCAAACUUCGUGCCAGCAGCCGCGGUAAUACGAAGGGUCCUAGCGUUGUUCGGAAUCAUUGGGCGUAAAGAGCACGUAGGUGGCCUUGUAAGUCAGAUGUGAAAGCCCAGGGCUCAACCCUGGAAGUGCAUCUGAAACUGCUUGGCUUGAGUACAGAAGAGGUAAGUGGAAUUCCUGGUGUAGCGGUGAAAUGCGUAGAUAUCAAGAGGAACACCUGAGGUGAAGACGGGUUGCUGGGCUGAUACUGACGCUGAGGCGCGAAAGCUAGGGUAGCAAACGGGAUUAGAUACCCCAGUAGUCCCUGAGCGGGCUGGCAAGGCGCAU
rnacentral:rRNA from 1 species